rnacentral:rRNA from 1 species
GGGAACGCGAAGAACCUUACCAGGUCUUGACAUCCAACGAAUCUGUUCUGAAAGGUCGGAGUGCCUUCGGGAGCGUUGAGACAGGUGGUGCAUGGUUGUCGUCAGCUCGUGUCGUGAGAUGUUGGGUUAAGUCCCGCAACGAGCGCAACCCUUGCUAUUAGUUGCUAACAGGUUAAGCUGAGCACUCUAAUGGGACUGCCGGUGACAAGCCGGAGGAAGGUGGGGAUGACGUCAAAUCAUCAUGCCCUUUAUGACCUGGGCUACACACGUGCUACAAUGGAUGGUACAGAGAGCAGCAAUGCCGCGAGGUGGAGCGAAUCUCAAAAAGCCAUUCUCAGUUCGGAUUGUAGUCUGCAACUCGACUACAUGAAGUCGGAAUCGCUAGUAAUCGCGAAUCAGAACGUCGCGGUGAAUGCGUUCCCGGGUCUUGUACACACCG